rnacentral:rRNA from 1 species
UACGUAGGGUGCAAGCGUUAAUCGGAAUUACUGGGCGUAAAGCGUGCGCAGGCGGUUUUGUAAGUCUGACGUGAAAUCCCCGGGCUCAACCUGGGAAUUGCGUUGGAGACUGCAAGGCUAGAAUCUGGCAGAGGGGGGUAGAAUUCCACGUGUAGCAGUGAAAUGCGUAGAGAUGUGGAGGAACACCGAUGGCGAAGGCAGCCCCCUGGGUCAAGAUUGACGCUCAUGCACGAAAGCGUGGGGAGCAAAC